AUGCAGAGAGAGGCAGCACUCACAGCAUCGCCUGAGACAACAAUGGAUGGAAUAUAUGGGGCAGAGGUGCAGCUCAGGAAGCCUGGGAAUCAGCAGCUUGCAUCAAUGCUUGCAUCUCCUGGUGGCCUGCAGACAGAGAAUGGCUCCAAGCAGGAAGGUCGUGAACAGAAAAGCAUCUUUGAAGGCAAAGAAGGCUUCACCCCUCUACAAAUCAAGGAGCUCGGAGCGAGAGUGGUUGAAGGGACAGAGAAGAGAGAAUGUGACCAGAGAAGACGUUAUGAUUUGAAACGAGCAAUCAGUUUCGUGAUGCUGUCUCACUGAUUAACGCGCACAAACGAGCUCUGCCCCAGGAUCAGAAAUGCCCUGUUCCAUUCAAUCUCAGUUCUUUGCAGGCACUGUUCUCAGAAAGGUGUAUGAUUGUUAAAUCAGAGUCCUGCAGAUGCCUGCAACAGCAGCUUUCUGUUGUUGUUGUUAAACUUUCUGCAGUAAAUGAUCCAUAGUGGCAAGGCUGACAACAAAGCAGUCGGUCUGCAGUGCUCGUUGGAGUUCUGAUUUCAGCUUUGGGAAUCCAAGAAAAAUAUCAAGGAAGACUUAUCUGUAUCUCAGAUCAGGAACAUUUUCAGUCUGUUUCUGUAUGUAUAUGUAAUGCAUGUCUACAAUCAUAAAUAUCAGGUGGAACAGCCAAUUUGUUCAUACAGAAUGUAUAAAUGGAACAGAAAGACAGGGAAGUAAAAUAGCAACUAUUUUAAAAACAGAAUAACUGUGCUAGGUCAAGUUAUUUCCAGAAUCACUACAAAUACUGCGGGUAACAUAGAAGAUUUCUAUUUCUAAGUCUUGCUCCUUUCUAAUCCUUAAAUUAACGAGCGUUGUCGAUACAAUUAUGCAGUGGGCUCUAGGCUGGCCUCCCCUCUGCUCAAAGUCAGAAACCAACCUAACCUCCAGCAUGCCGCGCUAACACAGUGCUUCGCUCAGCUCGCGUGUGGUGUGGUACUGAACAGCCAAACGGAGAGGAAAAUAUUUCCUUUGCGUUUACUGCCUACUCGUGUCAGAAGUGGUACGAAGGUGGUCGACAGCUCCGUUUUCUACCAACAGACAGCAGGCUUCACGCACUAAGGCAGAAGAGAUUAAUACCGCAUUAGUAACAUCUCGCUCACCGUUGUCACUGUAAAACGGCUUCAAACAUUCCUUACGCAGAGCAGACAAUGCAGGCAUGCUUUCUUUCCUUUCUUUAUCUCCCUCGUCCCUUCACCCACUGUUUGAUACCUCGAUUUGCCCGUGUCUGGGUGCUGGAAAUACCACUGAGAGCGCGGCUCAGCAGGGU
rnacentral:lncRNA from 1 species